rnacentral:rRNA from 1 species
GUUACCAAACUGUUGCCUCGGCGGGAUCUUCUGCCCCGGGUGCGUCGCAGCCCCGGACCAAGGCGCCCGCCGGAGGACCAACUCCAAAACUCUUUUGUAUACCCCCUCGCGGGUUUUUUAUAUCUGAGCCAUCUCGGCGCCUCUCGUAGGCGUUUCGAAAAUGAAUCAAAACUUUCAACAACGGAUCUCUUGGUUCUGGCAUCGAUGAAGAACGCAGCGAAAUGCGAUAAGUAAUGUGAAUUGCAGAAUUCAGUGAAUCAUCGAAUCUUUGAACGCACAUUGCGCCCGCCAGUAUUCUGGCGGGCAUGCCUGUCCGAGCGUCAUUUCAACCCUCGAACCCCUCCGGGGGGUCGGCGUUGGGGAUCGGCCCUUUCACGGGGGCCGGCCCCGAAAUACAGUGGCGGUCUCGCCGCAGCCUCUCCUGCGCAGUAGUUUGCACACUCGCAUCGGGAGCGCGGCGCGUCCAAUGCCGUAAAACACCCAACUUUCUGAAAUGUUGACCUCGGAUCAGGUAGGAAUACCCGCUGAACUUAAGCAUAUCAAUAGCCGGAGGAAAU